CUGCCGGUCCACGCACGCCACAGAAGAAAGAGGUAGCCUGUUAAAAACACACAGCUUCUCUUCUUCCACCUCUACCGUCUGGUUGCACUGGGAAAACCAGAUAUAAGCUGCCCCUCUCGGCGGAGACGCAGAGAGGUUUGAAAGAACAAGCAAAUGAAUCAAAGGAGGGGAGAGAAACGAAGAAAAUAAAGACGGCACUCCAGCUUAUGGGAUAUAUAAGCCGUGUUUCCUGAAAAGAUAAAUGAUUUCGUAAUGAAUGGAUCCUUUAGGCCAUAAAAAAUCCAUUUAUUUUCUUUGGGAUUUGAAUAGAGGGGAUUUGCAUUUUUCCUGCGCAGCUCCAUUUAAAUUAAAAUGCAGAGCAUGAGGCUAGCCUACAAUGAAACUAAAUAAGAGUGGGAGGGGCAGCUGGAUUUUUCAUAGGAGCUCAGAGUUUGCUAGCUUUACCAUAGGAAAGUAGACACUGGUUCCAACACCUACUGUUGCAGAAGAGAAUACCGCAAGGCCGUUCGGGACACCUUCGACUCGUGCGAGAAGCUGGCGGUUGGUUGUGAUCAUGUUUCGUUUAUUCAGGAAACUAGGCAAUGUGUUUAUCUAAGAGAGAAUCUGCCAUUUCUAAAAACGGCUGCUGUUCUGACAGCAGCAAACUAGGUCCUGGUGUCUAAUUGUACUUAGAAAAGGGCAACUUAAAAUAAUAAUAAUAAUGAUGAUGAUGAUAAUAAUAAUAAUGAAAGCACUAAAAUUAAGAUUCCAACCCCCACCCUCACCAAAAAAAGAAAAAAAAUGUUUUAAGUACCUGCAUUUCUGUUGUUCCCUAAUCAUCCCCGGCUGUUCCUGGUUGUCACUCUUCCCUGCCCCCACCCCAUGUGCUUGAGAGUCAGGAUUUCAAUGUCCCUGGCGGCCGCCAACUUACAGUAGAGACCUCUCUACCCCUGCCUGGUUUUCAGAGCACAAAGAACAAAGUACAAGUUAUCAGGUCUUAAAAACUAGAAGGGAGGACAGGCCAGCUUCUCUGAAGGACAGGAAUUGCCUGCCACAGAGAGACCUGCAGUGCACAAGCUAGAAACAGUGUGGUGAAAUAUAAAAACCUUCAGGGGCCAAACAGCCAGGUGUGCUCUUGUCUAGCAGGUGGGGUGUGGCAGUGCACCCGGACAGAGCCCUUCAAGGCCAUUGGCAUUUGGACUCUGUGGUCUACCUUUUAUCAAGGAAAGCCAGAAACUGGAGCUGCCCUGUAAGCUCGCAUUAAAAAUGUUAGUCACUCUGUUUAGGGUGUUUAAAUACCAUCUAAGCCGAACAAAACCUGAAAGGAGGUGCAUAGACUCCCCUGUUUGCUGUCCCCACUUCUGGAGAGCCUGAGGUUAUUUAAAGCAUGUACUUAUACAACAGCUUACCUAUUAAUUGUCCCUGUCUCAUUAGAUUCAGUGACAGAUAAAACUGUAGUGUGCCUUCAGUUCUACUGC
rnacentral:lncRNA from 1 species